rnacentral:pre_miRNA from 1 species
AUAACAUUCGGACCGUCGGUCUACCGAGCAAUUUAACCCAUUCGGUGGAAAAUCUUCCUUUGUGCU